AUGGUGAACCCGCCGGAGCUCUACCACCGGAUCCUCGACGUCCCCAGGGGCACCUCCUCGCAGGGGCUCCGCGCCGCCUACAAGGGCCUCGCCAGGAAAUGGCACCCCGACAAGCACCCGCCGGCCUCCAAGCCCGAGGCCGAGGCGCGCUUCAAGGCCAUCACCGAGGCCUACGAGGCGCUCCUGGACCAGCAGGAGAACCGGGCGGUCUUCGGGGCGUGCAACGACGACCGGGCGGCCGAGAUGUUCGGGACGUUCGGCGCCGGCGCGCGCAUGGCGAGGUCGCGCAGCGACGACUUCUGCAUGCGGAGCGCGCCCGCCACGCCCGCCAGGGAGUUCACCAAGGUCUACAGCUCCGGCAACACGGGCGGCCGCCGCGCCUUCGCCGAGUUCUCCAGCUCCAUCAUGCGCAAGGCGCCGCCGCUGGAGCGCGCCCUCGAGUGCACGCUCGAGGAGCUCUGCCGCGGCUGCAAGAAGCAGGUCAAGUUCACCCGCGACGUCGUCACCAAGAACGGGUCAAUAGUUAAGAAGGAGGUGACCCAGGCGAUCAUGGUGAAGCCGGGGUGGAGGAAGGGGCACAAGGUCACCCUGGACGGCAUGGGGGACGAGAGGCCGGGGUGCCUGCCGGCCGACGCCGUCUUCACCGUGGCCGAGAAGAAGCACUCGACGUUCAAGCGGGUGGGCGAUGACCUGGUGCUCAAGGCCAAGGUGCCGCUGGUGAGCGCGCUCACCGGCUGGUCCUUCUCAUUCAGGCUCCUGAGCGGCAAGAAGGUGAGCUGCUCGUUCGACGACGAGGUCAUCUGCCCCGGGUACGAGAAGGUGAUCAAAGGCGAAGGGAUGCCGAUCGCCGAGCAGAGAGGCGCGCGGGGCGACCUACGGGUGAAGCUCGAGAUCGUCUUCCCGGAGCAGCUCACCGACGAGCAGCGCGCCGGCCUCGCUCAGAUCCUCAAGGACUGCACCUGA
rnacentral:rRNA from 1 species